rnacentral:lncRNA from 10 species
GUUAGACCAGUUCUUCCUAGGUUGUUCACUUGGAUUCACUCUAGAGCAAGGUUUCUCAGCCUGGGUACCUGGGUAUUCUAGGUUGAAUAAUUCCUUCUUCUGGGAGACUGUCUCAUGAGCUGCAGGAUGUUUAGCAGAAUCCCUGGUUUCUACUCACUAGAGGCUUCAGCACCAACCUUCCACUUCUCCUCUGCUAUUGUGGCAACUGAAAAUGUCUCCAGACACUGCCAAAUGUCCCCCAGGAGAGCAAACUCACCCCUGGUUGAGAAUCACUGCUCUACAGGAAUAGUUGCAUGAGGAUGGGCACAAACUCAGCUUCACAAAAGAAAUUCUACUCAAGCCUCACAAAAGAGACAGCUUAUCACUUGCAAAAUACUGAUUCAAUAGCCUAAUUUUUAUGCCUUAAAAGUUAAGCCAUGCUUUGUCCUCAAGUUUCAGAGUUUGAUUUUCCAGAGGUUCAGACCUAAGCCCCACUGAAGAUGACUUCAGAGAUGGCUUAGGCCUGAACCUGCUUGACCCGAACAAUUUUGACCAUGUAUAGUCAAAAUUACCUUCAAAAGUCCCUUUGGACAGUGCUACCUUAUAGAUCCCAUAACUUCUCCAUGGUUUUGACAAUCACGGUUUUAAUUUAGCGUCAGUGGAACUCCUUAAGUGCUGGGAUUGCAUUCAUGGGCUGUGUUACCCCCAAAUACAAAUCUGUAAACUCUAAACUCACAUUUGAAGCAGCAAAUUGUUCAUACGACAAGGGGCACGUUGGAAUCAGGAAUGGUUCAAGGAAAAGAAGAAAAGAUCUAUGCUCCUUGUGGUCAUGCUCCCUCAGGGACAUGCACUUAAUAUGAAUGUUAGACAGGAUUAAAAGCGCUAUUUAAAUUAGAAUUUCCACUUCCCACUCUUGCCCCUCAGAUUACGCUUCUGAUUAAGUUCACUUGCUUAAAUAUGUAUAUAAUGCUACUGUAGUAUCAUACAGGAUAAAAAAGAAGCAAUUUCAGGUUCAAUUAUUCUCAUAUUGAUAACAUAUAGGGUGACUAUUCUAUUAGAGUCAGAUCCUCAGAAAGAAAUGGCCCAGAUAUGUCAACUCUCUGUAAAAGUUUCCUCUCUAUUAAUUAUACCAACAUCAUUUAUUCAGUCCUUAUGGAGUGGCCUGCAUAGUCAAAGAUGUGUCCUCCACCCAUGGCUCAUGUAAUAAAUUUCUUCCUGGGUAGAGAGGAAACAGCUGUCUCUGCAGAUUCAUGAGUCUGCUUUCUUUUGUCAUGCUUGACCAUUCGCCAACUCAUAACCCAUGUACUGAAUGCUUGUUCUGCUCCAAGCACUGGGAAUAACAAAGGUGGGCACAGGCACGUGCCCUGCCCGAGGCACACGUAGAUGCUUGGGAGGAGCAACUUAUCACAUGGACAGUGAGGUAAGCCCUGCAUCCCAACUGUGCACAAGAUGCAAGGGAAACACAAGAGAGGGAUCAAGGGCGGCUUUAGAGAAGAGAAGAUGCCUCAGCUCGAUGAAGAGUCCAGGGGGCACCCAAUGGAAGAGUGCACUCCAAGCACAGAGCAUGGCAUUUUCAGGUACUGACUGUGGUUUGGUGUGGAUGGAGCAUAACAUUUGUUGGGGGGUGGCUGUGGUGGUUGGUACUGGGUACAAAGGGUCUUGAAUGCCACAUAAGAUCUGAAUUUAUGUGGUAGAUAAUGGAGAGCCACCCGAUAAUUUUAAGAAAAGGUACAGAGAUCUUUUUUUUAAAUUGGGUUGCUGAGAAGAGCCUGGAAGAAGUGAAACCUAUCAGAAGUGAUUGAAAUGGCCCAGAUCAGAGAUGGUUGAGGCCAGGACUAACGCAAUGGCAAUGAAGAGAAAAGAAAGAGGGCUGAUUUGAGAGAAAACAACACAAAAGACACUUGGGGAUUGAUUGGAUGUAAGCCUGGAGAUGAUCUAGAGGACAAAGAGGCAUCCAGAGGGGGAUGGAUCCAGAAAGUCAACAAAAAGCGACUUGAACUUCCCGAUGUAUCUGGCAGAGGCAGCCUUCUCACAGAAGUUACAAAUUCAAAAGGCUCCAAAGAUGCAUAUCAUGCCCAGAGGCAGAUGAAACACACUGCAUGGUCACUGAACCCAGAGGUUCUCCUGAAAAAGUGUAUUUCAGGUACCAGAAAGUCAACGUGAGUGUGUCUUGCCAUACUGCAGGUGUUGUAUCAUUUUGAACAAAUGUGUUCCAAAGAUGGAUGGGGGAAAGCAGGGCUGCUGAAGGGAAAGGGGGAGUGGUGGAGAUAGCAGAGUAGUGAUUAAGAUCUUGAGCAUGGACAAGGAUGCUAGAAGGAGCCCCAGAGUUAUUCUCCUUUGCUAAUUUCCCCAGUCUCAGUCAUUGUCUGGAAAUUCAAAGUACCACUGUGGCUCAAGAACCCUCAUUGUCCUGACAUGUGGAGCCUCCUGACUGCACCUGAAAGCACUGACCCAAGGCUCCCACCUGGGAUGAAAGGUGCAGAUGUCUCACCCAGCCAACAAGCCAGAUUCUCUGUUUGAGGAUCAGGAGGCUACAGGAAUCGCCAUAUUUACCCAUACUUUAAAUGCCUGCAUCUGUGACAGGAAGUAUCAUUAACCUUUGUCAAUAAUGUCUGCUGGUGAGUAGGCCAUGGCCAUAUAGGCCGUAUAUAUCCCCAGGGCCAAACAAUCAGACAUUUGGAAAUACCCUGGAAUCCAAUUACAGGUAGAGAAAAAAAUCACUGUCAAACGUAUUUUUCCUUGACAUAAAUAAAAAUAAUAUAGUGUGGCAUCAUUUUCAAAUGUAUCUGUGAUGUAUUAUUUCUGUGUGCAAUAUGGAGAGUAUCAAGCUCAUAAUAAAAUACUGUAGACAUAAUUUUGCUUUCAUGGCUAGGUUAGUGGGUGAAAGCCACUUCUAAAUUCUUGACAGCUGCUUCCUUCCACUGGGAAAUGCCAUUUAUCUCCACCUGGCCUCAGGAGGGACUCGUUUACAAGAGGGAGCAAGGAGGGAACAUAGUUCUAGCUCUCUAGAGAAGGCAGCUUAACCCCGGGAUGCCCUCCAGGGACCACCAUCAACAUAUGGUUUUCAGAGUCUCAAUAUUUUAAGACCGACAUUACUCAUCCAUGACUGAGCCAUCUGCCUGGGACAAUCUUCCAUGGCUCAGGGAUCGGGAGUAACGGGAUGUCACGGGAAGCUGUGGAGGAGCCGGCCCGCUCCAGCAGAAUGAGCCAAGGUUUGGAGAGCCAGCAAAGAAUUGGACAGACAAUAUCGUUCCAUUAUAUCCAGUUCUGCUAAGGUCAUGGAGUCCGGCCUUGUUUAAAUUAAACUUUAUGCCAUAUUUAGUCAACCCUCCUAGAAUUAAAAGCUUAAUGCCUCUGCUGUCUUCAAUUGGCUAAGUCUACAUCAGGCUGUAAGCCAUAACACUUGACUAAAGCAAACAGUGCUAGCAGGAGGGUUAGUCAACACACACUGUGUAAACGCUGCUGAGAACCAUCCCUGUGUUAAUGUGAAAGAAAACGGACCCACAGUAUGCAGAGCAGGCAGGAAAACAGCUGAUGCUCAAGGCUGCAGUGUACAAUAUCAUCGCGCCUCUCCAAAUAAAGUGAAGAAGACAGAAUAUCUCCCAGGAGAGCUUGCCUGUCUGUACAUAAGGACGUACACACACACACCCACAUCCAACCAUGUGCCAGUAAUUUUUACAAUUUGAAUUAUUUUCCUUCUUCCAUAUUUACCUUCUAUUUUCACUAGGUCCACAUUUUUCUUUGCUUGCUGUAAUUAAUUUUAUUCUCCUUCAGUUUAAUUUAAACCAGACUAACAGUUCCUCGGGUAAGAACAUUCGAAUGUUGGUCACUUGAUUGGGCAGACCCACAUCUCAAAAUGAUAAAGUAUUAAAUGAAUAUUCCAGUAUUUAGGAUUAAAUGUUAAAGUAAAGCUUAUUUUCCAUAUUCUCCUUUUUCCAUGGCCAUACAUUGACAACUUUGAUGAAUCAUUUUGCUUUAAUAUAAGUGGCUCUGAAGACGUCUAGUUUGUUAGUGACCAGGCAGUUGCAGUCACAACCCCCCUCCCCCAACAAAGUGUACCCAUAGUUGCUGUCUCAGUAUUAGCCUGCAGGUUGAAAUCAUCACUACUGCCCUGAGGAAGCCUGUCUGAUGUUAACCUGUUCAUUUUCCCUCUACUCUCCCUGUACUCACCUUGGGGAUGGUGAGGGGUUCCUGGGGAGGAGGCAGACACCGUGAGAGCCUCUUGAGAGUCUGAAGAUGAGGGGCUAUGGCUCAGAGGAGCCAGGCAGGCUGGGGCUGCUGGCGAGGUCAGGUCCAAGGAGAGGUCGGCUCUGCCCCGGCUCACACUCCGGCUUCUCAGCUCCUUCUCGUGCUCCUCAGCUGCCAACUGUUCCAAGUAUUUGUAUCUGAAAGUUAAAUUCCAAAGGGUUUCCGUCAAACGAAAGAGGAGCCUGUGGCUGAUGCUUGUUUAUGGAUGAAACACCUGCAGAAUGAGCCGGUUUCCUGAUGCACACAGCACAGUGCAGGGCUGGCUGGAGAGUCAGCCUGCCAAAAACACCCAGCAAAGCCAAGAUGCUAAUGAUUAAAAAUCCCACGUCACUCAUAACCAAGCAAAUUGGGGGAAAUGGCAGCAUCACACAGUCCCUAGAUACUGGAUCACUGCUGCAGAAUCCUAUCUUGCUCUUUUAGGGAACAUUUGUAAAUAAGCAAAACAGCAAUAACCACCACCAAAAAGCCUCAAGAGUGAUGGCUGAAAACCAAACCCCCUCGGAGCUCACAGCUGUGAAAUGGGUGGGUGCCUUGGUGUGGCAGAGAGAAAAAAAAUGCCCCCCAUAUACCAAAGGGGGUUGCUUGGAUGAAGGCCUGCCUCUCUGAAUUUCUGAACCUGCUUCAAUACUAACAGCAAUGUAACUGGAAUUCACUUUGUUCUCUCAGUGCUGACCAUGGAAACUUUUUUUAUAUUCUAAAAUAUUUCUGAGUAGGAAUCAGACAUCCAAUAGCUUGAACCUGACGUCACAUAGAGUUUAUUCAUCAAAGUCAGUUUAAAAGAACAAAGAUACAUCUGUUUUGCAUUUCAGGCAGGCAGAACCCACUAACUGUUUAUUAAGACCAGCUACCAAUCAUAUUCCUCAUAGUGCGCUUUAUAGAUCAGACCAAAAUAACUUUGAAAUGUGUGCCUCUUCCAGAUGUCUGCUAAUUUUACUCACCAUUAUUUUUUCAGAAAUAAAUUUAUGCAUUCAGCUGUAACAGGUUUCUUACUAUCUUACCUACCACUAAACUUUGGAACAGCUUACUCAAGACGCUCACUUUGCAUCUAUCCAAUUCACUGCUUCAGUUCCUCACAAUGGGCAUUAGACAUGGUGUUCCUCAUUUACCCAGAUAAGAAAGGCAGAGCACAUAAUUAAAAUAUUUUAAAA